AGCCUUUAGCAAGCCCCACUAUUAAAGGUGAUGCCUGCCCAGUGAUUUACUUAAACGGCCGCGGGAUCCUCCACCGUGCAAAGGUAGCAUAAUCACUUGUCCCCUAAAUAGAGACUAGUAUGAAUGGCCACAUGAGGAUUCUCCUGUCUCUUGUAGCCUAUCAAUGAAACUGAUCUUUCAGUACAAAAGCUGAAAUAAUAUCAUAAGACGAAAAGACCCUGUGGAACUUAAACCGGCAACCACCCAACAUGGCCCACCCGGUUUUAGUUGGGGCAACUAUGGAAUAAAACAAAACUUCCAACCGCACUCCCAGGUGGACACACCCACCAACACCACCUUGACCCAGUAAUACUGACCUAAGAACCAAGCUACCCCAGGGAUAACAGCGCUAUCCCCUCUUAGAGCCCCCAUCGACGAGGGGGUUUACGACCUCGAUGUUGGAUCAGGGCCCCCAAACAGUGCAGCAGCUGUUAACGGUUUGUUUGUUCAACAAUUAAUGCCCU
rnacentral:rRNA from 1 species